CACGUCGGCCACUCCACCUCGGGCGCUCUGAAGCCGGCCGCAUGGAGACUGGGGGACGGUGGUAGGAUGGUCCUAGACCCCUUCUCUCCAUUUCUGCAACCUUGGUGAAUUGAAAAGGGAUCAAUAUCCUUGGUCAGCUAUACCAUACCAGAUGGCCAAGGGACAGAGGAAAAAUGGCAGGGCAAACCCCCUUGGAUUUGCCCACGUGGAGUUUGGAUAUUUACCUGACUUCUUUGUCAAGUCUUGGGCCUGAUGCAGGUAAGCAUGGUGGGGCCCUUGGAGAUCUGUCGGAGCAGUUGCAAGAGGCCACUGUAGACCAGCAAUCGCCACCGCUGCAGCAUUGGUGCCAGGCAAGAAAUCCCAUCAUGCUCUACACCAAGGCUGAGGAGGGAUAGAGCUGAACCGACUGGCAGCCCUCUGUCCUUCCAUGAGAGGAGACUCCAUGGGAGACAAUGGUACAUUUCCGUGGGACCACUAGCACCCUCAUGACUUGCUUCCUCUUAACACUUACUUUUUAAAAAGGUUACAGAAGUAUGGCCACUGGUUCAUGUAUUCAACAGUUCAGGGGAGCUGUCACCACCGAAGGAAGGAGGAUAGUACUGACAGGGCUGAUGGUAAUGAUGACAUCUAAUGU
ensembl:processed_transcript BC006965 cDNA sequence BC006965